rnacentral:rRNA from 1 species
GAUGAACGCUGGCGGCGUGCCUAAUACAUGCAAGUCGAGCGAACAGAUGAGGAGCUUGCUCCUCUGACGUUAGCGGCGGACGGGUGAGUAACACGUGGAUAACCUACCUAUAAGACUGGGAUAACUUCGGGAAACCGGAGCUAAUACCGGAUAAUAUAUUGAACCGCAUGGUUCAAUAGUGAAAGACGGUUUUGCUGUCACUUAUAGAUGGAUCCGCGCCGCAUUAGCUAGUUGGUAAGGUAACGGCUUACCAAGGCAACGAUGCGUAGCCGACCUGAGAGGGGGAUCGGCCACACUGGAACUGAGACACGGUCCAGACUCCUACGGGAGGCAGCAGUAGGGAAUCUUCCACAAUGAGCGAAAGCCUGACGGAGCAACGCCGCGUGAGUGAUGAAGGUCUUCGGAUCGUAAAACUCUGUUAUUAGGAAAGAACAAAUGUGUAAGUAACUAUGCACGUCUUGACGGUACCUAAUCAGAAAGCCACGGCUAACUACGUG